rnacentral:rRNA from 1 species
UACGAAGGGUGCAAGCGUUGUUCGGAAUUACUGGGCGUAAAGCGUGCGUAGGCGGGUUAGAAAGUCGAUUGUGAAAGCCCUGGGCUUAACCUGGGAAUGGCAGUCGAAACUCCUAAUCUUGAAUGUCUGAGAGGAUGGCGGAAUUCCCGGUGUAGUAGUGAAAUACGUAGAUAUCGGGAAGAACACCUGAGGCGAAGGCGGCUAUCUGGCGGUACAUUGACGCUGAUGCACGAAAGCGUGGGGAGCAAACAGG